UACGAAGGGUGCAAGCGUUAAUCGGAAUUACUGGGCGUAAAGCGUGCGCAGGCGGUUUUGUAAGCCAGAUGUGAAAUCCCCGGGCUUAACCUGGGAAUGGCAUUUGGGACUGCAAGGCUCGAGUGCGGCAGAGGAGACUGGAACUCCUGGCGUAGCAGUGAAAUGCGUAGAUAUCAGGAGGAACACCGAUGGCGAAGGCAGGUCUCUGGGCUGACACUGACGCUCAUGCACGAAAGCGUGGGGAGCAAGCAGG
rnacentral:rRNA from 1 species